rnacentral:lncRNA from 1 species
AAAAAUAACAAUAAUAAAAAAAAAACUAUAAUAAAUUGUGAAGAUGAUUAUUAUUAAUUUCUUCAUAAAUUACCUUAAAUUUGAAGGUAAUUUAAAUUUAAUUGUGAAGAAAAAUCAUCACCGAGACCUUGUUGGAAUAUUUUAAAGGAGCGAUAAACUCCAGAACAAAAUGAAUCCUCUGACGUAUCGACGUCGGAUGAUCAUCAAUUAUAUUUGGAAGCAACUAAAGGGAGAAGGAUAUAUGGACUCGGAGCGCAAGCAUUAGCAUAAUACGAGUUCUUCAGGUGCUAGUUUAUCCAAUGCACCAUCGCCUUCACAACAAAUUCUCGACCCUAAAAUGAUAUAGUUUAUGCAGAAGUUCCUUGAGAAGAAGAAGCGACUUCUUAAGGAGUUGGGC